UCGAAGAGUCUUUCCCUUCAACCUCGCACGCGCCUCCUUCCCCUCUCCGCAAACCCUCGCCAUCAGCUUCCCCCGCAUCGCUAGCCGCCGCUCGUCCUCACUGUUGGUCACUCGUCGGUAGAGUGUCACCCCCGCAGAAGCCAUUGCUCACGCCACACUGUUCGUCCGCCGCUCGCCUAUCCAGCCGUGCGCGUCAGAUCUGUAUGACGUCAGACCGCCCAAAGUCACCGUGCGCUCUAGCCAUCUUCGUCGCUCUGUCCACCUGCGUGUUUGAGACGUCGUCGACACCUUCCAGACGCCGUCAGUCGUUGCCACGUGUCAAUUCGGCCGUCUGACAUCACCUAUUGCCAUUCAGCCGCUGUUUGAGUCGAAACCUUUUGGGUGAGCUUUAGAUUCAGGGCUUGGAAGUUUUGAGGUGACUUAUCAAAUGCAAGACCAAUUUUGACAAAGGUUGUUAAAUUGUGGUAAAUUUUCCUCGGGUGAAUUCAAAUUUAUUCAAAAGCUUUAAGGAGACUAUUUUCAUGGACUAUUAUUUGUGACCAAAUUUGAGGUAAGAGUAAGGACGCGCCGACGAAUGAUAAGCGAAAUCCGUGAUCGAGCCACUGGGACCAGUUUUAUGCUUCCGC